rnacentral:sRNA from 1 species
CUGACAGACUUGGAAAGCUCUGUACAUCCACAGGACAGGUAGAAAACAGCAGUAGCAAGGCUGACAUGUCCACACUGCCCUCUUCAUGGUCUUCACCCUGAUCUGAAGUAGCCACCUCUAAGGAUGAGGAUAGAUUCCAGACUACUUAGCAUCUGGUCUCU